UCAGGACAAACAGCAACAAAAAAGGAGUUAACACACAAAAUCGAUGCACAAUGAGUUCAUUCCAUUUUCAAAUUACUUGGAUGUUGAUAUGAAGCUGCUUCACUUAUUGUUUUGGGAAAUUGGGACCUAAAUGUCUCACUGGUGCCGUGCAGUGAUGUACUGUAAACACCAUGCAGGGUUUUUUUUCUUUUUCACUUUUUAUUGCCUUGUUUCAUUGAUCAGUCCACAGUUUGUUUUACUGCUCCUUCUGAAGGACUUUUUCCAUUCUGUUUUGACGUACAAAUGAAUAUUGUCACAUGAUAAUUACAAAACAAGUAGUGCAGAAAUGAUUAGUCAAUCAUUGACUGUAAAUUAAUCAACAACAUUUUAGUAAGCGAUUAAUCAAUGACGUCAUUUGUCAAAAAUGCCAAAUAUUUAAUAGUUGCAGGUUGGUUGUGUUAUGCUUUAUAUCACUGUAAAUUGAAUCUCUCAAGGUUUUUGAGUGCUGUCAGGUCAAAACAAGCAACAAGUUGAAGAUGUCACCUUAAAAGGUUCUGUAUGAGAUUCUGAACAUAUAAUAUAAUAUAGCAGCAAACAACUAUUUGCUAUAUAAAGAUAUAGUGGAGUAAAGAAGUCACACCCCCUCUGCCUGUGUUGUUAUCGCAGCCUGUCUGUGCUUUGUUUAUACAGCCACGCGUGCAUGUUAGUGCACGUAAGUCCCUCGUGUGAAACUGUUCGUCUGUGAGGAGAGCUGUUUUUCCCCCUAAUCUAACACUGUGAAUUACGGAUUUAUUAUGGCCAAACCAGAGUUGAUGAUUGUUGGAACAGUGGAAAAACUAUCAAAGUCGGUUUUGAGCUGACACUGUUCCAGCAGCCAGGAUUUUCCUAAGAACUGGUCACAUCCCAACACGUCCUGAUGGGAGAGUCCCACAGUCAGUACCUCUUUCAAGACGCGUCAUGGCUGAAAUUAACCCAAAGCUGAUGAGAUGAAGAAAAGAUUCUGCUCCGUAUGCAAUAACCAAUUGCACCCAAAAGGACGAGAACUAGGGCUGCAACUAACAAUUAUUGUUAUUUUUCCAAUUAAAAAAAAAAAUAAAUAAAUAAAAAAAUCAAUCAAUUGUUUAGUCUAUUAAAAAAAAUGUAAAAAACAAAACUAAUUGUGAAAAAUGUCCAUCACAAUUUCCUAGAGCCCAAAAUGACAUUUUAAAAUAGCUUUUUUGGGUGCCCUGGUGGUCUCCUUAAGGCGCCCCUCAUUUACUGACACAUCUCCACUGUUCACUAUCAAAUAAAAAAAAGGCAUAAAACACCUAAAAAAUUAUUUAAAGAAGCACUUUUUAGUCCGAUCAAAAGUCCAAAAGCCAAAUAUAUUCAGGUUACACUGAUAUAAAAAACAGAAAAGCAGCAAAUCCUCACAUUAAAGAAGCUAGAACCAGUAAAGGUUUCACAUUUUUGCUUAAUAAAUGACUUCUCUUACCUAUUUUCCAUAACUGUUGCCAAUCAAAUUCUCAUGUGAUUAUCGAUAAAUUAUUUCCGCACUAAAGCUGGUAGUUGUUGAUAGGGCUGGGUUAAAUGAACGCAAGCUAAUAUGAUAUAAAAAGGAAAUAUACACGGCAAUAAGAGCUGAAAUGAUUAGACGAUUAAUCAAUUAGUUGAUGGACAAAAAAAAAAAAAUUCAUCUGCAACAAUUUUGAUAAUUUAGCAGAAAUGCUAAAAAUGUCAAUUUUUGCUGGUUGUCAAUUCUUCUUUAAUAAUAAAUGGAACAUUUUUGGAUCUUGGUCGGUUGGUUGGAGAAAGCAAGCAAUGUGAAGUCACCUUGGGCUCAGGGAAAUUAUGUGCAUUUUUCACUAUUCUGGACUAUUGUCUUUAUGUACCAGACUUUAAAUCAAGAAAAUAACCGUUAUAUUGACUGAUAAUUAAAUUCAUCAUUAGUUGCAGCUCUAAUGACAAUAUGGCAAAGUAUGCAAAAUCACAUAAUAUAAAAAUAGUAAAAUUUUGACGUCAAGUGUAAUGUAAUGAGUUUUACAUUGAAUAUUAGAGACAAAACUCUUCAGACAUGUUAAACAAAAACUUCACCGACUCAUUUUGUUGUUUUGAUUUUAAAAUUAGUUUAAAUCAUUCAUUUAUAUAUCAAAAUUUUGUAACAUGAUGUGAUCAUUUCAUCACAAUAUGAUUUCAUUAAUAAUCGAAAAGUUGAUAUUAAAUUUUUGCCCAGCUAAAGUCGUUUACAGCAGAUGAAAACUGGCAAUACACAACACAUGCGUACACACACACACAAGCAGUGCCACCACAACUGUGUUUGGGAAUCCAUUUCCCUCACAUUACCGCUCUGUCACACACACACACACACGCACGCACACGCUGACAGUAUUUGUCCUUCGGAGACUCCAGUCUGUUUUAAAUCCCCUCUUUAUCUAAUUACUUUCCGCCAGCUUAUUAUCAUCAUAUCUCAUGCAACCACUCACACACACAUAUACACACACACACACACACACACACACUCACACAGUAUGAUAAUUACCAUGAUGACUAGUUUUGCUAUGGCGAAAUUCUCAUUAUGUGACUCAUGGAAAUGUAGGUUAUAUGAAUUUCAGUUUUACCUCCCACUUCUUGCAACAGUUACCAAGAAACAUUUGUAUCAGCUCUGAAAUGAUCAAGAAUACGGAGCGACCAGACAAUGAGACCAUUUAAACCUAUGAACCAGGGUGUGACCAGGCUGACAGAUACUGAAGACUGAAGCAGCAGAUUCUUACGUUUCUUUCUAGAUAUUAAAAACUCAGUGUUUCACUUAAAGGUUUUGUUAGCAGGGUGGAAACAGGACAGUAAAACUACAUUUAUUCAUUUGUAACAGACCAUGUGUAAUAUUAAAUGUAAAUGUUACCAUUUGAUUUAUUGUACCCGAGUUAUUAAAAAUAUAUACAUACAAUAUUUUGAAGAAAUAGUUUUAUAUGUUGUUAGCUUUCUUGCUGAGAGUUCAAGAUUGAUUCUAAAUUACUCUCAUGUCUGUAAAUAUGACGCUGCAGUUAGCAGUUAGCUUACUGUAGCUGACACAAAGACUGGAAACAAGGGAAAAUGGCUAACCUGACUUUGGCCAAAAGGUAACUUCUGGCACAUAACCCCAUCAUCAAAACGUUUUUUGUACAGAUUAAGCAAACAAGAUAAUACUGUGUUAAUUAGUGAGCUUUACAGGUGCAGGGACGUGAGCUAAGCAACUGCUGGCUAUAGCUUCAGAUUUAGCAUACAGACAUAAAAAUGGUAUCCAUCUCAUUUAACUCCCAACAAGAAAGUGAGCGUUUUUCCCCAAAAUGUUGAACCAUUUCUUUGAAACACAAAAAUCGUGACGGUGUGGUAAAACAUUAGCAAUUAGCAACAUGGGACAAGUCAGUCUGGUAUUCUGUGGAAGCUUUUGAAAACAAUGCCAUGAGAUUUCCAUGUCUCAUGUAAAUUAUGGAGAAAGGCCAAAUGAGAACCAAAUCUGCUAAGAAGCCUGUUCUGCGUUUCUGUGUUCUUAGACGGCAGGUGUUAUCUGUAUUAGCAAAUAUACAGAACAGAAACAGCUGGAAAAUGACACAGUAGCACUAAUGCAAUUAGAUCCAACUUGUUUGUUUUAAAAACCAUGCAGCCCUGAGAAAAUAAAUAAUUACUUCCUGAACCGAUGAGUGAUGGCACAAUGUCUUUGUGAUUGAGGGGUUUUAUUGUUUUCAAGCCUUCAUUUCAAAUUUGAGGCUGAUGGGGUCAAAACAAAAACAGAGUCUUGCACAAGGCCAAAGCUGGUGACACACACACACACACACACAGACACAAGGAACCUUUCUUUUCCUUUGGAGAAUAUGAAAGGAAGAUGAAAACCAGCACCUGAAGGAUUUGUCUCGACACGUCUGCUCCCUUCCUUUCUCCCGCUUUUUUGUCUUGCUCUUAUUUUUUUUUUUAUUUUUUUUUUUCGGGCUGAACAACACUGGAGAGGGGCAUGGCUGCCUGU